UACAGAGGGGGCAAGCGUUGUCCGGAAUUACUGGGCGUAAAGGGCGCGUAGGCGGCCUGUUAAGUCGAACGUGAAAUCCCUGGGCUCAACCCAGGAACUGCGUCCGAUACUGGCAGGCUUGAAUCCGGGAGAGGGAUGCGGAAUUCCAGGUGUAGCGGUGAAAUGCGUAGAUAUCUGGAGGAACACCGGUGGCGAAGGCGGCAUCCUGGACCGGCAUUGACGCUGAGGCGCGAAAGCCAGGGGAGCAAACGGGG
rnacentral:rRNA from 1 species